rnacentral:rRNA from 1 species
UACGGAGGGUGCAAGCGUUAAUCGGAAUUACUGGGCGUAAAGCGCGCGUAGGCGGUUUUUUAAGUCGGAUGUGAAAGCCCCGGGCUCGACCUGGGAACUGCAUCCGAUACUGGAAGACUAGAAUGCGGGAGAGGGAGGUAGAAUUCCAUGUGUAGCAGUGGAAUGCGUAGAUAUAUGGAGGAAUACCAGUGGCGAAGGCGGCCUCCUGGCUCGAUAUUGACGCUGAGGUGCGAAAGCGUGGGGAGCAAACGGG